GGAUGCGAUCAUACCAGCACUAAAGCACCGGAUCCCAUCAGAACUCCGAAGCUAAGCGUGCAUGGGCGAGAGUAGUACUAGGAUGGGUGACCUCCUAGGAAGUCCUCGUGUUGCAUUCC
rnacentral:rRNA from 1 species